rnacentral:miRNA from 1 species
UCUGUCAACCAUCCAGCUGUUUGG